rnacentral:misc_RNA from 1 species
AAGUCGUAACAAGGUUUCCGUAGGUGAACCUGCGGAAGGAUCAUUAAUGAUUGCGAAUGGUUACCUUUGGUGCUGGCUCUUGCGAGCAUGUGCACGUUGGUGGCUUUCAUCCACUACUACCCUUGUGAACCUUUGGCCCUCUUGCUUAGGCUUUGGCUGGCGAUUGAGGAUUUUCACACACACUACUCAGAAUGAUAAAUCGUAAACGUUUGUCGUGCGCAAGCACUAAUGUACAA